rnacentral:misc_RNA from 1 species
AGGGUUCAGUGGCGGCAUAGGGGGGAGGGCCGUCCGCAUCUUGGGGGACGAAGAGUAAGCAGCGGCGGUGAUGAGGCGGCGGGGAGGGGUGGCGUGGAACGACGGGAUCCCGCAGGGAAUCGCCAUUGAUCGCUUGCCGCAGUGGUGAAGGCUGGGGAUGGGGCUGCAACGGAAGGAGCGAGCGGCUCAGGCUGCGGGCGA